AUUGAACGCUGGCGGCAUGCCUAACACAUGCAAGUCGAACGGAAACGAUGGGAGCUUGCUCCCAGGCGUCGAGUGGCGGACGGGUGAGUAAUACUUAGGAAUCUGCCCAUUAGUGGGGGACAACUCGAGGAAACUCGAGCUAAUACCGCAUACGCCCUACGGGGGAAAGCGGGGGAUCUUCGGACCUCGCGCUAAUGGAUGAGCCUACGUCGGAUUAGCUUGUUGGUGAGGUAAAGGCUCACCAAGGCGGCGAUCCGUAGCUGGUCUGAGAGGACGAUCAGCCACACUGGGACUGAGACACGGCCCAGACUCCUACGGGAGGCAGCAGUGGGGAAUAUUGCACAAUGGGCGCAAGCCUGAUGCAGCAAUGCCGCGUGUGUGAAGAAGGCCUGCGGGUUGUAAAGCACUUUCAGUAGAGAAGAAAAGCCUACGGUUAAUACCCGUGAGUCUUGACGUUACCUACAGAAGAAGCUACCGGCUAAC
rnacentral:rRNA from 1 species